CAGAAAAUAGUUUAUAAAAAUAUUAACUUUGGGAGUUAAAGAUCGGAUCUUUCUGUUUUCUGA
rnacentral:tRNA from 1 species